rnacentral:misc_RNA from 1 species
CCGUGCCGUGGCGGCCGGCUCCUUUCCGGGGCCGGGCGCUCACCUGGCCACCCGUGUCUACUUACCUGUUGCUUCGGCGGGCCUGCGGGCUUGCCUGCUGCCGGGGAACCUCGUUCCCGGGCGCGUGCCCGCCGAAGACCUGAACAAAACUCUGGUAAAAGAUUGACGUCUGAGUCUGUUAAACAAUCAGUUA